UUUUUUUUUUCGAGACAGGGUUUCUCUGUGUAGCCUUGGCUGUCCUGAAACUCACUCUGUAGACCAGGCUGGCCUUGAACUCAGAAAUCCGCCUGCCUCUGCCUCCCAAGUGCUGGGAUUAAAGGUGGGUGCCACCACCGCCCAGCGAGAAAGUAAAAUUUUGGACUCUGCCAGGAAAUUAAAUGGAUUAUACCUUUACCCCAUACAGUUCAGAAUUAGGCUACUGUCUGUCAGUCUCUCUCUUGGAUGUACUUAGCAAGAUUUGAGGCUUCAUCAUGAGGUGGUCAUGCCUUAGCUGUCCUAAUGUGUUCACACUUAAUAGACAUUAAACCACUUUUGAACUGAAGAAAAACUAAAUGUUUAACUUUUUGGAGAUACUUACACACAUUUAAAAAAAAAAACCAAAACAAGUUCCAUGUGGCUGACUUACUGCAUGCUGUCCCUUAAGACACUCAUCAGGGUCUUAGAAGAUCACCCUGACAGAGGGGUCUCCUGUUUUGCCUAGCUCAGAGUUUUGUGCUUAAAACUUCGCCUGCUACCACAGCAUCACAUAAUUUCUUGAUGUAGGCAAAGCCAUAUUUAGUAAGGGCCUGUGUUUGUAGGCAUCUGUGUGCAUGAUUAGAUUGAUCACUGAUUUUAGGAGGGAGAAUAAUUUUUCAAAGAAGCUACAGGAGCUAUUCUUUGUAUGGGUCAUCUGCUCGGUGAUUUCAGCUACUUGUGGAAAUUGUUUUGCUUGGUAUAUAGGUGACGUAUGUAUUCAGGCUUGCGUCAACAAGAUGGCUCAGUAGGUAAAUAUAUAUUUUUUUAAGUUUAGUCUUUGUUUCAGAUGUGCAAAGUUUGGCUAAUAAUCUAAGUAGAUAUUUUCUUGGCAUCUUUUUAAGCAGUGCCUGUUGGAUAAACUAUACUGAGCCUUUUCCAGAAUGCCUUCGAAGAGUGAGCUUUGUAUGCAUUUGUUCAGACCAUGUUUUAAGGAGCCUACACUUUACUGUUGGCAUUGUAAGCUUUUUAGAACUUAGGAGAGUGCUGCUGUUGCUGCUGCUGCAUGUUAAUGUGGUCAGGCUGGCAGCUAACCUACAAAGAACAAGAGGAAGUGAGGAAAUGUCUCUGCAAAACACUGCUUAAAGCUAUUUAAGCAGUGGACUAGAAAUGGGGAGCAGGAAACACAGAGCUGGAUUCUUGUUUUAUGUUUGAAAGUGGGUGAGGCCAUGUCCUCCAUUGAGGAUUUAAGCCCCUUGAGUGUGUCCUCACUUUCAGAGUUUUGCCCUUGUCAAACAUUAAAGAUGAGUUUCUAGGCCCUUACAAGAUACCUGAGUCACAAAAUUUGGGCCUUAUAUUGGAGUGGAAAAAUGAGCUUGACUCUUCUAUAACUUGUAGAAAAUAAGAAAGGGUAAAAAAAAGGGAGGAAUUAGUUUUUGGGGAGGGACCAUGACAAAGGGAAAACAAAUUAGGGAGGGUUAUGUGUAUUAAGUAGAGUCUCAGGACUUACAGACAGGAGGGAGGCCAGCAGUCAUGCACCUUGAGAAACAGCAAGUGGAUUUAACUUGUACUUGGAGUGUGGAAGACAAAGUUUUCUUGGGAAAGUUUGGGAAGUUGGUAAUCAGCACUCACGAGUGCAGCAUAGGUCUCAUCUCUAGGCCUGCGGCGGGGGUGGGGGGUGCUAAGGCAUUCAGGAGAUCUAGCAUUCUGUCCAUAACUUUGUACUGGUGGUGCUGAGUGUUGAGUCCUAGCCCUUGGACCUGCUGGUCAAGCACUGUGCCACUCAGCAGCAUCUCUAGUACUCACUGGGUUUUUAAAGAUUGACACGAACAUUAGAUUGGAAAUGUUUGAGACUUUGGGGUUGUACUGUCACUGGAGACAAUUGCUGGGGACUAUGUGAUUUGUGUGACCAUUGACUAUAAGGAGUUAGGUCUGUAAUCCAGUUAGUGGAUGUUCUCCCUUAAGGUAGAGAACAUGUAAGAACAACUAGAUUGGAGGAAGAAUGUAGUGUGCUGAGCUCUGUGGGAAUUGACUGUAACUCAAGGAGAUUUGGGAAUGGAGCAGAUUGAUGAUUUUCACUCAUCAACUAAUGUCACAGAGAAUUGUGAGAUGUACAAUCAAGAGUGAAGAAAAAAACACUUUUUAAAAAGACUUAUUUAUUAUAUGUAAGUACACUGUGGCUGUCUUCAGACACUCCAGAAGAGGGCAUCAGAUUUCAUUAUGGUUGGUUAUGAGCCACCAUGUGGUUGCUGGGAUUUGAACUCAAGACCUUCAGAAGAACAGUCAGUGCUCUUAACUGCUGAGCCAUCUCAUCUCUCCAGCCCCCGGGAAAAAAAAAAAACC
rnacentral:lncRNA from 1 species